rnacentral:rRNA from 1 species
AGAGUUUGAUCCUGGCUCAGGACGAACGCUGGCGGCGUGCCUAACACAUGCAAGUCGAACGGAGCAAAGCCCUUCGGGACUUUGCUUAGUGGCGAACGGGUGAGUAACGCGUGAGGAACCUGCCUUUCAGUGGGGGACAACAGUUGGAAACGACUGCUAAUACCGCAUGAUGCUUUUGGGAGACAUCUCCCGGAAGCCAAAGCUUUAUGUGCUGAAAGAUGGCCUCGCGUCUGAUUAGCUAGUUGGUGGGGUAACGGCCCACCAAGGCGACGAUCAGUAGCCGGUCUGAGAGGAUGAACGGCCACAUUGGGACUGAGAUACGGCCCAGACUCCUACGGGAGGCAGCAGUGGGGAAUAUUGGGCAAUGGGCGAAAGCCUGACCCAGCAACGCCGCGUGAAGGAAGAAGGCCUUCGGGUUGUAAACUUCUUUUACCAGGGACGAAGGACGUGACGGUACCUGGAGAAAAAGCAACGGCUAACUACGUGCCAGCAGCCGCGGUAAUACGUAGGUUGCAAGCGUUGUCCGGAUUUACUGGGUGUAAAGGGCGUGUAGGCGGGAUGGCAAGUCAGAUGUGAAAUCCCGGGGCUCAACCCCGGAACUGCAUUUGAAACUGUCGUUCUUGAGUAGUGCAGAGGUAGGCGGAAUUCCCGGUGUAGCGGUGGAAUGCGUAGAUAUCGGGAGGAACACCAGUGGCGAAGGCGGCCUACUGGGCACCAACUGACGCUGAGGCUCGAAAGUGUGGGUAGCAAACAGGAUUAGAUACCCUGGUAGUCCACACUGUAAACGAUGAUUACUUGGUGUUGGAGGAUUGACCCCUUCAGUGCCGCAGUUAACACAAUAAGUAAUCCACCUGGGGAGUACGACCGCAAGGUUGAAACUCAAAGGAAUUGACGGGGGCCCGCACAAGCAGUGGAGUAUGUGGUUUAAUUCGACGCAACGCGAAGAACCUUACCAAGUCUUGACAUCCCUUGACGAUGCUGGAAACAGUAUUUCUCUUCGGAGCAAGGAGACAGGUGGUGCAUGGUUGUCGUCAGCUCGUGUCGUGAGAUGUUGGGUUAAGUCCCGCAACGAGCGCAACCCUUAUGGUCAGUUACUACGCAAGAGGACUCUGGCCAGACUGCCGUUGACAAAACGGAGGAAGGUGGGGAUGACGUCAAAUCAUCAUGCCCUUUAUGACUUGGGCUACACACGUACUACAAUGGCGUUAAACAAAGAGAAGCAAGACCGCGAGGUGGAGCAAAACUCAGAAACAACGUCCCAGUUCGGACUGCAGGCUGCAACUCGCCUGCACGAAGUCGGAAUUGCUAGUAAUCGCAGAUCAGCAUGCUGCGGUGAAUACGUUCCCGGGCCUUGCACACACCGCCCGUCA